AAAUAGCUAAUUACAAAUGAGCUGCUGGGUUGUUCACAGCGUGCCUGAGCAGUUCCUGCGGGGACAGCAGUGCUGUGCUCCAUGCAGGUCUGUGCAGGGGGUGUGAGUGACCGUGUCUGGUGCAACAGAAGGUGCAGUGACACCUGAGAGAAAAAUAAAAAGGGUGUUUUAGGAGCCAGGAGGGAGAGCAGAUGGUGCUGGGAAUGACACAGGUGCCCCGAGUCACAAAGCCGUGUGCUCUGAUGUGGGAUGAAUUGCCACCAGCUGGGGGAAGCUGGAGGUGGGCUUUAGCACUUGUUCCUGAGCACCGGGGGGGUGAGAUGUGUCCCAGUGAGGUGCUGGGGAGGGCUCAGCUCCUUCUGUUGGCUCCUUGGGAUUGCUGGCAUGAGAGUGGGUGCGUGUUUGGCUGUGGGCAGAGACUGUGCUGCAGCGUACAAAAGCAGCUGUGUGGUCCGACCCAGUGCUGGGGGAAAGCAUCCCGGGGAAGCACCUAUAAACUGGAGAUGACGCACUUGAUCCAGCGUGUUUGCUGCGGUGGCGCGUCACCUAGGAGCAUCGAGUGGAAGGAUGUUGUUCCGUGCUGCAGAGCGGGCGCAGCUCAGCUCAGCAGACCUCAGCUGCCGAUCUGCACGCAGCAUCAAAGCCAUGCAGGGAGCAAGCCAGUCCUGGUGCCUCCAACCAAGUGGGACCUCCCAAUGCAGACUUCUCCCAGGGAGGUAACGCUGCUGAUGUCUGCCCUGCAGACAAGAUGUGAAGAUGGGCUCCUCUGCUAG
rnacentral:lncRNA from 1 species